AUGAACAAAUUCGAUUUAAUAACACAAACAGUACAAAGCGUCUCUCACGUCCAUUCUUUUAUUUUUGAUUUUUCCCAACCUGCGUUGGAUCCGCAGCUUGUGAACCGGCUUUUGGAAGGGGUGGAGGCACCUACCUCGAAAGACAGGGACCUCCUUUUAAAAAUGUAUGGAAUUGCGCCCGGAAAUACACAGGCUUUGCUUUUUGAAAUCACAAAAAUGGUAGAAUCAUACAUGCGGCAGGCAAAUUUGGUUUUGCCACCUGCAUACGAUGUUACCUGGUUUUGUAACCAGUUUCUGGGCGUGGAUUCUUUUAAGGAUCUAAAGGAUACUUUCGUAGAUUUACAUUUCAAGGGGCGCGAAAGCUUAACUUGGAACACAGGCUUUGUUAAUUUUUAUAACGAAAUAUGGAGGGCCGAAGACUCCCCGCCGGGUAGCGCUGUAAGUGCUCCGAAUCAGCUUUUUUUGGAAAACCCAUUGGAUCAAUUUGCCAUUUACCCAAUAAUUGAUCUUCAUGUGGGCAACUUUUAUUUUACAUUUACAAAUGCAGUCUUGUAUAUGCUGCUCACUGUCGUGUUGGUCGUUUUUCUGUUUUUUGUUGUUACGAAAAAGGGAGGUGGAAAGUCAGUGCCAAAUGCAUGGCAAUCCUUGGUCGAGCUUAUUUAUGAUUUCGUGCUGAACCUGGUAAACGAACAAAUAGGUGGUCUUUCCGGAAAUGUGAAACAAAAGUUUUUCCCUCGCAUCUCGGUCACUUUUACUUUUUCGUUAUUUCGUAAUCCCCAGGGUAUGAUACCCUUUAGCUUCACAGUGACAAGUCAUUUUCUCAUUACUUUGGCUCUUUCAUUUUCCAUUUUUAUAGGCAUUACGAUCGUUGGAUUUCAAAGACAUGGGCUUCAUUUUUUUAGCUUCUUAUUACCUGCGGGAGUCCCACUGCCGUUAGCACCUUUCUUAGUACUCCUUGAGCUAAUCUCUUAUUGUUUUCGUGCAUUAAGCUUAGGAAUACGUUUAUUUGCUAAUAUGAUUGCCGGUCAUAGUUUAGUAAAGAUUUUAAGUGGGUUUGCUUGGACUAUGCUAUUUCUGAAUAAUAUUUUCUAUUUCAUAGGAGAUCUUGGUCCCUUAUUUAUAGUUCUAGCAUUAACCGGUCUGGAAUUAGGUGUAGCUAUAUCACAAGCUCAUGUUUCUACGAUCUCAAUUUGUAUUUACUUGAAUGAUGCUACAAAUCUCCAUCAAAAUGAGUCAUUUCAUAAUUGA
rnacentral:rRNA from 1 species